rnacentral:rRNA from 1 species
AGAGUUUGAUCCUGGCUCAGGACGAACGCUGGCGGCGUGCCUAAUACAUGCAAGUCGUACGCACUGGCCCAACUGAUUGAUGGUGCUUGCACCUGAUUGACGAUGGAUCACCAGUGAGUGGCGGACGGGUGAGUAACACGUAGGUAACCUGCCCCGGAGCGGGGGAUAACAUUUGGAAACAGAUGCUAAUACCGCAUAACAACAAAAGCCACAUGGCUUUUGUUUGAAAGAUGGCCUUGGCUAUCACUCUGGGAUGGACCUGCGGUGCAUUAGCUAGUUGGUAAGGUAACGGCUUACCAAGGCGAUGAUGCAUAGCCGAGUUGAGAGACUGAUCGGCCACAAUGGAACUGAGACACGGUCCAUACUCCUACGGGAGGCAGCAGUAGGGAAUCUUCCACAAUGGGCGCAAGCCUGAUGGAGCAACACCGCGUGAGUGAAGAAGGGUUUCGGCUCGUAAAGCUCUGUUGUUGGAGAAGAACGUGCGUGAGAGUAACUGUUCACGCAGUGACGGUAUCCAACCAGAAAGUCACGGCUAACUACGUGCCAGCAGCCGCGGUAAUACGUAGGUGGCAAGCGUUAUCCGGAUUUAUUGGGCGUAAAGCGAGCGCAGGCGGUUGCUUAGGUCUGAUGUGAAAGCCUUCGGCUUAACCGAAGAAGUGCAUCGGAAACCGGGCGACUUGAGUGCAGAAGAGGACAGUGGAACUCCAUGUGUAGCGGUGGAAUGCGUAGAUAUAUGGAAGAACACCAGUGGCGAAGGCGGCUGUCUGGUCUGCAACUGACGCUGAGGCUCGAAAGCAUGGGUAGCGAACAGGAUUAGAUACCCUGGUAGUCCAUACCGUAAACGAUGAGUGCUAGGUGUUGGAGGGUUUCCGCCCUUCAGUGCCGGAGCUAACGCAUUAAGCACUCCGCCUGGGGAGUACGACCGCAAGGUUGAAACUCAAAGGAAUUGACGGGGGCCCGCACAAGCGGUGGAGCAUGUGGUUUAAUUCGAAGCUACGCGAAGAACCUUACCAGGUCUUGACAUCCCCCUGGAUGGCCCGUAACGGGGCCAGCCUUUCGGGGCAGGGGAGACAGGUGGUGCAUGGUUGUCGUCAGCUCGUGUCGUGAGAUGUUGGGUUAAGUCCCGCAACGAGCGCAACCCCUGCCCGCAGUAGCCAGCAUAUAAGAUGGGGACUCUGCGGGGACUGCCGGGGACAACCCGGAGGAAGGCGGGGAUGACGUCAAAUCAUCAUGCCCCUUAUGGCCUGGGCUACACACGUGCUACAAUGGCGCCGACAGAGGGAGGCGAAGCGGCGACGCGGAGCGAACCCCAAAAACGGCGUCCCAGUUCGGAUUGUAGUCUGCAACCCGACUACAUGAAGCCGGAAUCGCUAGUAAUCGCGGAUCAGAAUGCCGCGGUGAAUACGUUCCCGGGUCUUGCACUCACCGCCCGUCA